rnacentral:rRNA from 1 species
AAUGAACGCUGGCGGCAGGCCUAACACAUGCAAGUCGAACGGAUCCUUCGGGAUUAGUGGCGGACGGGUGAGUAACGCGUGGGAACAUACCCUUUGGUACGGAAUAGCCUCGGGAAACUGGGAGUAAUACCGUAUGUGGUCGAGAGACGAAAGAUUUAUCGCCAAAGGAUUGGCCCGCGUUGGAUUAGGUAGUUGGUGGGGUAAUGGCCUACCAAGCCGACGAUCCAUAGCUGGUCUGAGAGGAUGAUCAGCCACACUGGGACUGAGACACGGCCCAGACUCCUGCGGGAGGCAGCAGUGGGGAAUCUUAGACAAUGGGGGAAACCCUGAUCUAGCCAUGCCGCGUGAUCGAUGAAGGCCUUAGGGUUGUAAAGAUCUUUCAGGUGGGAAGAUAAUGACUGUACCACCAGAAGAAGCCUCGGCUAACUCCGUGCCAGCCGCCGCCGUAACAC